rnacentral:lncRNA from 1 species
CAAAACUCUCAAAAGCAAAACCCUAGACAUUUCGCAGCAACACAAGCAAUUUCGUUGUGCUUCUCACUCCAACUACCUCUGUGAACUCAAAUCUACGUUGAACUAGCAAUUGCGAAGCUCUGGCGAGUCUGGCAUGGUCUCCCUAGCUCCAGCAAACCAUCGUCAGACCAAAGGUUAGUCAGUUGAGGGCCCUUCUUCUAGUUGGAGAUUUUUCUUGAGCUGUUGGUGUUUUUUGGAGGCUGGUAGUGGUAUUUUCUUAUGGUAGUUGGUGUGUUGGGGUUAGGUGGGGUGUUGUGGGGGUGAGAGAUUUGGGGAAGAGGAUGAAAAAUUAAUUUCUAAAGGUUUGGACUUUGGGUGACACAAAAAAAAAGUUUGUGUAUAAUCUAUGAAAGAUAAAAGAUUUGGGACUGCAGUUGCAACUAGCUCUUUUUAGUUUUGGCCUUUUUAAGUGGAUUUCAUUAUUAAGCUAUUGGAAUUGGAUGGUAGGGGAUGUUUCGCAAGGUUUGGACCAUCUAGGGAGGUCUUUCUACUAAAAUGAAAGGAUAUGAGAUAUUCCACAAUUAUAGGCAAAAGUCAAGGAAUUUUGCACCAAUCACCUUUAAUUUUAUCCAAAUUUGCAAAAAUAAUAAUAAAUUUCAAAUUAGAUUAUGUGUGGCUUUCUUUAAAGAAAAAAAGAAGUAGAAGAAAGCGGCAAAAAAUUCUAGCACCUUAAAUCAUAUAUAGACCUUGCUAUAUAUACACCGGUACACGGGCUUUGCACGCCCCUCACAAGAGGGGGAGGGGUCCAUGCCCAAUAAAAAAGCCCCCCCCCCCCCCCCAACACACACACACAUUGUGAGGGGAGUUACAAAUAGCAAAAUUCUCAUAUAUAAGACAAAUAAAUUGUUACAUCAUGUUAAUUUUAAUGUAAAGCAAAGUUUGAAUUCAUAUUAUAUUUAGAUUUUCACAAACAAAUUGUAUGCAUCUUUUUAAUUAAUCCAAAAAGAAUUCAAAUUAAAUAGUAUGCGACUUCCUUAAAAAAGUUGGCUGAAUAUAUCGCUUUCUAAUACAAAAUCUUAAUUCCUAUUAAUAUUUAAAUUUUCACAAAUAAGUUGCAUACAUCUCCCUAAUUGAUCCAAAAUUGAAAUUACUUAUAUACUAACCACCAUUGAUCCAAAGAUGAACUUUCAUGUAUACUAACACAAGCAAAAACCUCAAAAAUCUCAAAUUCAUAAUAAAAUUGCAAUAGAUUUUGUAAAGUAGUUUGUGUUGGUAAUUAUUUGGAAAACUAAACUUGUAAAGCGAUUGGAUAAUGAAGUUGAAUAGGAGAUGAAAUUAUUACUGAAAAUCUAAAAAUUUCCACUUGAAAACUUAUUAUCUGGUUAAUUAAAAUUAUAAAGAAAAAAUUAUUAUACUACUGGAAAAUAGAUGGGCAACUUAUGAAUUUUGUCAAAAUUUAAGAACCUGCUUGAAAACUAAUAUUGGACUUGAAAGGAGAUUCGAAGAAGAAUAGCAUGCAGCGAGUUUAAAAGUAUCAAUUUUUAGCUUAAUACUUAAUUAAUACGAUUUGUUAAUUCUAAACCUUUUUUUAUUAUGAUUUUUUAAAAAGUCCCUACUUUUUAGUGUAUUUGUGUAAUUUGCCCACCAUUAAUUUGGUCAGGCCCAUCUUAGCUGAAUCUCAGGUGGUUUAAUUACCAUUUGAGUAGUAUGAAUAUGGAUUCAGACCAUUGUUAUUUGGGAAAGUGUUGGUAUGAAACGGGCUAACGAGACCCAAAUUGCCUGGAAUGAAUUUGGAGGGAGGAGUUGAAAUUUAAUCUCCCACCACCUAUAACUUCCAUGUAACUCUCACUAUACCGAAACCAUAAAAGAAGAAAAUGCAAAAUUUAGAUAUAGAGAAGGGAGUGAAAAUACAUUAGGGUACGUUUGAUUGCAAAUAUGGAAUUUGGGUGGAAAUAAAACAAAUUUCAAGAAAUUAAGUUGUCUAAAAAUUGUUUUACUGAGAAUUGUCAAUUAAUAGUGUUUGAUUUGUUUAAUUUUUCACCUGAAAAAUGUUGAAAUAAAAGUAUUUUUUGGUGUUUAUUUGAUUUUAUUUUUCAUGAAAAUUGUCAAUUUAAUCCACUUUUGCAAUUGUUCCUAAAAUUUGUUUCCAUUGCGUCAAAAAAAAAAAAAAAAAAAAAACCCGAAGAAAUCCAAAAAUCAUCUACCUUUCGGUAUUCGUUUGGCUUUGUUUUAAAUGAAAAUUUUCAAUUUAAGCGAUAUCCUCGUUUACAAUUGUUCCUAGAAUUUGUUUCAAUUGCAUAAAAAAAAAAAAAAAGAAGCAAAAACUUGGAAAAGCUAAAAAAAUCUGAUGUGGCAAAGAUUUGUAGAAAAUCAUUUUCAUAAAAAAAUUCUACCAUCAAACAAGUUAAAAAGUGGGAAAUGAAAUUUAAUUUCCAUUUUUCAUGGAAAAGAAAUGUCUAUCAAAUAGGGCCUUAGUGUAUUGACUAGAUUUUGCAAGAUUACCAUCUCAAAAUUGAUUCUUGGAUUGUGAAUAUCAAACUCUUUCCAUCGUGAUCGAGUCUAUAGCCAAAGAGCAGUAAGUGAAUAAACCAAUGGCAAGUAAUUCAACCUUUCAUUCGUCGGAAUUUCAAGUAAGUUCUAAGACUCCAAACUCAAUUAGAAGCAUGCUAAGUAGUUUUUUACAUUGAUAUCAGCAUCUAAGUAGGUUGUUUUCUUGCUCUGUGACAUGCUAAAAAAUGGUUUAAUGUGAUGAAAAUGCAUGUAUGUCAUUUUUCCUUCAAAGUUUGAACACAUUUCAUGGCAAGUUAUGAUAUACCUCAUAUAUGUUCUAUAAAUUUAUACUAUAUGUUCAUGUUAACAUAUAUAACAUGUUUGCAAAGUUUCAUAUUGUUGAGCUUUGUAUUCUGGAAGGAAGAAAAAUGGAACCCUAGUUAAAGAACCCAAACUUUCAUAACAUGAUAGCUUAUUCAAGGUCGAUCCUGAAAAUUUUAAGACUCUAAUCGACUAAUUAUUAUGAGGCCUUUGUCAUGGGUGGUAUGAACGGCUACUUCGAGAUUGAAACUAAGGCCGAGUAACCUAUAGGAUGUGGUUGUAUCUCUAAUUGUGCAGAUGGUAAUAGGAUAACAUAUAGAAAAAAAUGGAAUUUGAUUGAAGUUCAAAUCAGUUUUACGGAAAAAUUAUGGUUUGCCUCUUUACGAAUUCAAAAGCUUGGAAAAUUGAAAAUUGAAGAUUGCAGAAGUUCAAAUUCUGAAGAAGGGUGGCCUAGUGACUUUGGCCCGGGGUCAACCCUAAGUUUACUGUACGUUACGUUUUGUGUUUUCAAAUGAUACAAAAGAUGAUUACUUUUGGCAUUGAAAUGAAGAAGUUAUGGUCUAUCGAAGUUUGGUUGAAUUUUUGAAAAUUCUACACUAGAAGAUGAACAGUAAACAUAAAAAAAUUCCUUCCCACCCUCAAACCAAGUUGUUGGUGUUCCAAACACGGCUUUAGAUAUUGCUGUUGUAAAAUCAUGAAUUCAGAUUAUCAAAAUUAACUAAAUGGGCCAAACAAGUUUUUUGAAUGUUUGCACGCGGAGGUGUACCUGAUUGCGCCCUAUUUUUAUUUUUUUUAAUUAAAAAGUUUAAAAAAUUUAAAAACUUUGAUCAGCACGUUGGGGGCUCAUGUGGAAUCGUUUGUAUUUCUAAAAAUUACAGUCUGAUUCCUAAAAUAUUCUAUACACUUAAAUUAAUUUUUAGACAGUUAAUUUUUUUUUAUUUAAUGAUUAAAUGAAAUUUGUAAAAAUACUUUUUUUUUCCAAGUUGAUUAAAUUCUGAUUUUUUUAAUAAAAUAAAAAAUAUUUAUUAAGUAGUAUUUUCAUAGUGGCAGUUAAUUUUUGAGAUGCUCUCAUUUUUUAGAAAUUGAAAAAUACUUUAAAAGUAUUCGAAAUACCAUAUUUUUCCACAUUCAUGAGUGGUGUAAGUUUUGAUUGGCUUAUAUGAUUCACUGUUAUAUAUAUAUUUUAACAGAUAUGACUGGAUCUGUGUACAAUUUUUUUUUUUUUUUAACAGAUAUGACCGGAUCUGUGUACAUUUUUAGCAUUCUUAUAGGGAAAAGUAGAAAAGAAUGAGUUGUGGAACGUGUUGAAAAGUUACAUAGAUAUCGAAACUAUGAAAUGGAUUAACGACCUAACAUGUUACCAUAUAUAAAACAUCUUGAAGCAAUGCGUCUUGAAGUAACACAUUUGGAAAAGUAUAUAUGUGAGGCUGAGAAAAUAUAUCAUCUAAUGAGAACACUUCCUACUCAUUGGCAUGAUAUUGUAGUUGAAAUUCUAGACAAGUCACUUAAUCUGGCUUAUAGCUAUCUGAUCAGGAUUUUAUGAAGAAAUGGAAGAAAGAAAAUUAGAAUAUUAAGAAGAUCAGCCUAUCUAUGUAUAGUUAAUUGUAGCAGUGACUUAGUGACAACCAAAUUGCUGAACAAUAUCUAUGGAAUGCUCUUCUCAUGGCUUGUAGUUGUACACAAAAGUUUAAUUUGAUCGCAUUAUAUAUAUCAAAAUGUCUUACUUUAUAAAUGCUUCAUUGCUUAAAUGAAUAGGAGUUCUAAGGUUAAAAAUAUUUAAGUAAUUCUGAUUGAAAACUUAUAUUUUUGCACUAUGACAUUAAUUUUAUUUAUUUAUUUAUUUAUUGCUAUUAUUAUUUUUGUGAUGAAAUAUUAACAUAAUGGAUGAUGGUUGGGAACUUAGUGAGCUUUUAACCCCAUAUCUAGUGUUAAAUUAUCAUAAAAUUUAAUUUGCGUAAGUACAAAAUGAUAUGUGUUCAUAAUUGGACAUUCAUAUAAUUGUCUCUAAAAUUGUGACAGACCAUAGCAUUUAAGAAUAUCAUUACUGACCUUAAUAAAUGAGAAAAAUUGAAUGACAAUAACUAUAAUAUUUAGCACCAUGAAAUUUGGCAAGUGUUGGAGAAAUAAGAUUGUCUUGAGAGUAUUAACCACAUAAUACAACCUAGGGAUGGGCCAGACUACUCAACACAGAAGGGUUCAAGAAAUUUAACAGACAAGGAAAAAAGAUUCCAAUACUUGUGCGAUUUUUCUAAGUUCCAUGUUGGAUGAUCUCGUUCAAAAGUGUGAACAGUUUUCAACUGCUCAUUUGUUUAGGUAUAUCUGAGAGAGAAAUAUGGUGGCACUAGUGUGACUAGACUCAGAUAGCUGAUUAUUAAAUUUGACACAUACAAGAACUCCUAACCACAACAUCACACAACAUGUGAGGACCAUGUCUAACAUGAUUUGGGAGUUAAAGUCGACUUGUAACAUACUCUAUGAUGAAUAGCAAGUUCAAGCUUUGAUCCACUCUAUUCCUGAUAAUUGAGAGCAUCUGAAAGUUAAUCUGAUUUAUAAUGAUAGCAUCAAAACAUUUGCUGAUGCUACCCACAAUGUGGAAUUAGAGGACGAGCGAUUUUGUACUGCUAAAUCUCUAGGAUAUGCUUUUGUGGUUGAGUCUAGUUCUUCAAAAGCUCCAGCCUUUAAGUGUAAAAAGAACCGUAUCAAAUGUAGGAAAGGAAAAAGGAAAGAAAAUGGACAGGGACCUAAGAAGAACAAUUACAAACGCAACAAGAAGAAAAAGUGAUUUGGAAAGAAUAAAGACAAGAGCAAGCUGAAAUACUAUAACUAUCUGUUGCUGAUUUUCUCGAGAAUGCCUUGAGUCAAAGAAGGUAGCCCUUAUAAGUACUUCUUUUAGUGCUAUUUAUGUUUCAAGCAAUGUUAUACUAACUAAAUCUUAUCAUAUGUGAAUUGUAGACUCAAGAUCUAUAGACCAUGUCAUUAGAGAUCGAUAAGCGUUUAUGGAGUUUCAUCGAUUUCUAGUUUCUAUAAAAUGGAUAUACAUGGACAACGGUGAUAGAUUGGAGGAGAAAGCGAAUGGUACAUGUAAGUUGCAUUUGUGUGGUGGCCGUACUAUUUUUCUUCAUAAUGUCCUGCUUGCACCGGUGAUGUGACGAAACUUAAUUUCUGUUAUUGUUCCUUUAAGAUUAGUUUUCUUUUGAACUUUCGUGGUAUUUCUAUUCGUAUUUGUAAUGGUAAUAUAUAUUAUGACUCUGG